GCCCUUAUAGCUCAGUGGUAGAGCGCAUCACUCGUAAUGAUGAGGUCCACGGUUCAAUCCCGUGUGGGGGCA
rnacentral:tRNA from 6 species